rnacentral:lncRNA from 1 species
UUGUGUUUGUUUGAUAAGGUAAACUAGUAAAACUUGGGCAGUCGGAGCAAAAUUUCACAUCUUGCAUUAACAUAGCCUCGGAUAGAACAUUACAAUGUAAACUUUGAUACUACAAAAUUUCACUAAGCCGCAAUGUUUCGAACUUCUAAAGUGAAACUAGAGCACAAGGCGUACAAGUAGGGGGCAAAACUCCCCCAAACGUUUCUUAAGCAUCAGCAAUUGUGACUUCCACCUCAACACCGGGCUCGAUCGUGAUCGAGGUAAUCUGCUUCACAACCUCGGGGGAGCUGAACAGGUCGAUGACACGCUUGUGCACACGAAGCUCAAAUCUGUCGAAUGUGUUGGUUCCUGUAACGAACAAACAGACUAAGUUACCAGUUUCGAAAAACCUACAGAAAGAAAGAAAAGAAGCAUGGAGAUCCUCAAAUACGAAAGAAACAUGCUAAAUUUAUCAUCCAUUCAUCAUCAUCACAUCCUCAAAUGCUUGUAAAUAAACAAAAUGAAGAAUCCCACAUUCUUCUAAUGGAUUCAACCAGUAAUCAAAUUCAUCUAAUUGCAAACACAAUUCACACUGAUUGCAACAAAGAGCAUCUUAGAAUUCAACUCUGCAUCAAUGCUUCAACAAAAAUGAAGUCAUUAACACCGACCGAAUUGAGAAAUGGUUGAGCAAAUUACCUUCACCGCAAGGAGACUUCCUGGUGGUAAUAAGAAGAGUCUUGGUGGGCAUCCUCACCGGUCCCUUAACCCUCAACAUCUUAUCCUUAGCACCACGGAUCAAAUCUCCACAAACUACAAAAAAAUCCACCACCUCAAUUCAGGAACACAAUCAGCAAAGUUCGAAAUACUACAAGGACAGUAAAAGGACUGACCUUUCUCGAGGUUCUUAACAUUCUUGGAGGAAAGAGUGAUUCUAAUCUUAUGGAUCUGCUGCUGAGACUCUUCCAGCCCUGCCUUCGGUUGCUUGAUCGCAGCGUACGUCGCCAUUUCUCGCCCUGAAACCAACAGACCGCCGAAGAUAAGAAACUGUUUGGACUCCGAUGAUUGGUACAGCAAUGAAGAUCAAUAUGCAGAGAUGGAAGUUGAGCUAUACCUUGCUUGUAAAUGGUGUGGCUUAGCUUGCUAAGAUCAGUUGGCGGCGGAUUCUCCUUCUGGUUUCUAUUCUAACGAUCGGGGAAAUCGGAGUUGCAGAAAUCGUGAAAGGGUUUUGGUUUUCUAGACUGCCAGGUCUGUUUUUCGCGGGCUUCUUCUUCAAAUUUGGCCCAAGCUUUCCGAGAUCAUCAGGGUUCGACACUAUGCUUGGGAUUCGACGAGCCUUUCUGUUUUUAUCAGUUAGAUCGUAGCUGUGCCAUUGUCAUUCAUUGACUCUGCUGAAGCGGUCCGCCUUCUACACUCGUUGUACCCGGAUAUUAGAGUUGGAAGUCAUCUCGGUGAAUGUCGCUUCUUGUUUAGGAAGUUUUAUUUCCAAAGAAGUUAUUUCAUGUUUUCAGUAUGCACAUUCCUCGUCCGAAUAAUCGAGUCGUUCAUUUAGUGGCACACAAAGCACUUCAUUACCAAAAUCCUUAACCUGUAGUUUAAAUCUCCGUUAUGUUAUUUUUAUGUAACUUAGUUGAUACCCUUUUUUUACCUUAGUAAAAAACCAUCUAUAUGAGAAGGGAGUGCAAUAGAAGAGAGAGUAGGGACAGCAUAUACAACGGUUAAUUGGGGGAUACCACGAUUGCGGCAAACAACGAGGUACUUCGAUCGUCUGAUUUUGAAUCGAGAGAUGAAUAAAACUGGUUACAGAAUGCAACUUAAUGCAGGUCAAGUGAGGACUUAACUUACAUGAGCUUACCUGGUACAUCACUGGCAACAACACUAAAACUCAUUGGUAUUCAGAACAAAAUGGAUAGAAUCCAAUUGGAUUACCAAGUAACGAGAGCAACAACAGGUUAUUGGGAUGUAAGAAUUCUUGCCGUACAGCUCACGUUAGCAUAACCAAAACAAAACCAUAAUGGACAAAAAUGUAACACAAAACAUCGAACGAUUCCUUUCUGAAGUCAUAAAUUCUGACAAAAGCUUUUAACCGUAAUGACUCUUUCGAGUUUUUUCUCAUACCAGCCGUUCAAUGUACACAUUGAGCAGAAAAGUCGCAAAAACAUUUCCAAAUUUAACUUCUCUAACAAACUAACGAUUUCAAACAAAACCAAAGAGCUUCAUUACGAACAAGAACACAAGAGGGGCAAUGUUAUCAAGCAUCGGCAAUGGUGACUUCAACCUCAACACCAGGCUCGAUCGUGAUCGAGGUGAUCUGCUUCACAACUUCUGCGGAGCUGAAUAGAUCAAUCACACGCUUGUGUACUCGGAGCUCGAAUCUAUCAAAGGUGUUUGUUCCUGCCAAAUAGC